CGCCCUUGUGUUGCCCGUUCGCCUCUGGUCCCUGGCGUACGCGGUGUCGAAAAGGGCGCACAUCAAUGCUCGGCGGCCCCUCCUCGCCCCGGAGCCGUGCACCUCGGGCGUCGGGGCUGCGCGAGUGACAGCG
ensembl:snoRNA